UUAUAUGAUUUCAGUAUACAAAACGAUUAAUUGAAUUAAUGCAUAAGACAAUGAAUAAACCAAGAAGAGAAAGAAUAAUGCGAACUUAGAGUAAUUGAUUGUCUUACUUAAGACAACUAAUUCGAAACAAAAAAAAAGAUGGCUAUAUGGAUAAUUUUGCAAUUGUGACUACGGCAUAACAAACGUUGUAAUAUAUGUACAAUUUAUAUAGCUACAUGUAUCGAAAAUCUAUAAUUAAUACUUUUAUUGAGACGCCGAAUGAAUAUUGCAACCGAUAAUAAGUUUACAAGGUUAAAUGCUCUAAUUGUCCAGG